rnacentral:rRNA from 1 species
UACGUAUGGUGCAAGCGUUAUCCGGAUUUACUGGGUGUAAAGGGUGCGUAGGUGGCAUGGCAAGUCAGAAGUGAAAGGCCGGGGCUCAACCCCGGGACUGCUUUUGAAACUGUCAGGCUGGAGUGCAGGAGAGGAAAGCGGAAUUCCUAGUGUAGCGGUGAAAUGCGUAGAUAUUAGGAGGAACACCAGUGGCGAAGGCGGCUUUCUGGUCCAGCACCGACGUUCAGGCACGAAAGCGUGGGGAGCAAACAGG